CGCGUAGGCGGUUUACACAGUCAGAUGUGAAAUUCCAGGGCUUAACCUUGGGGCUGCAUUUGAUACGUGUAGACUAGAGUGUGAGAGAGGGUUGUGGAAUUCCCAGUGUAGAGGUGAAAUUCGUAGAUAUUGGGAAGAACACCGGUGGCGAAGGCAGCCAUCUGGCCUAAUACUGACGCUGAGGUACGAAAGCAUGGGGAGCAAACAGGAUUAGAUACCCCGGUA
rnacentral:rRNA from 1 species